GGUCUUGUAGUUCAAUGGAUAGAACAAAGGUUUCCUAAACCUUAGAUCUGGGUUCGAUUCCCAGCGAGACUA
rnacentral:tRNA from 1 species